rnacentral:lncRNA from 1 species
CGGGCUGGUCUCAAACUUCUGGACACAAACAAUCCUCCGCAUUGGCCUCCCAAAGUGCUGGAAUUACAGGUGUGAGCCACUGGACCAGCAGGACUCUAAAUUUUGGUGCUCAAAAAACAUUUGUUGAGUAAGUGAACCUGAGACUGUCAACAAGCAUUAUUUUAAAAUCACUAGCAAAGGAGACUGUAAAAUCAGGAAGUAUAUCUAAGUCACCUCCAAUAGCCGUAACUCUACCUUGUCCAGUAAAAGGACAGUGUACAAAUCAUGAAUUCAAAUAACCACCAUGCAGGUCAAGAAAGAUAAAAUCAGCAGCACAUUCCAGGUCACCUUCUUGUCUCUACCAUCCCUUCUCAUCUCUCCAAAUAUGACCAAUAACCUUAGUUUUGUCAGUGUUUGGAAUUUGUAUAAAUGUGAUUGUACAGAAUGUACCCUUUCGUAUCUGGUUUCUUUCAGUCAAUACUAUGCCUAUUUUAUUUAUUCAUGUUAAUGCAUGGAAAAAUAGUUCAUUUAUUUUAACUUCUGUUUGGUAUUCCGUUGUGUGAUCAUUCUACAAUAUAUGUAUUUUACCUAUAGCUGGUGGGCUUUGUGCCACUUCCAGAAUAGUAAUGUUAUAUAUAGUGCUAUUAUAUUCAUUUUUGUAUGAAUACAAAUGGUACCUUUGUUUUGUUUUGAGUAGGAGGGGAUUUACUAGAUAAAUGGGUUAUGGGUGUUUUCAACUUUGACAGACACUAAAAGUUUCUCAAAGUAAUAGUACCAAAUUACCUUCUCACCAGGAAUAUAAGAGGUCUAUUUUUUUCUAGGUCUUUGGUGAUAACUGCUGUUUUAGCAUUUUAAUUUUGUCAUAUUUGUUGAUUUGCUG